UGUAAGAAAGCCCAGAUUAUGAGGCUUGAAAUUCUAAUCAUGUAUUGCACCAAAAAGCAGAGCACAUGCAAGAUAUCAUGGGAUUGCUCUUUAAAUACAUUGACAUCUUACACCAGUCUGGCAUUUGCGAGUGGAUUUAUGACGAGCGACAAUGCUAGCCAAGAAUCCUGAUGCUCCGCAUUGCAGCAUUUUCGUAAUUGGGAACUUGAGGCUACAUGCAUUCGAGCUUCUUCUAUACUUUGCUAGAUACAACUUCUAUCAAAUGUUGUCAGAGCAAGUCUCUUAGGGGACAUUCACAUUAUCAAUUGUAUUAAUUAAAUAAAUAAUAGCCUCUAACAGUUGCAAGAAAUCAACCUUUUGAUGA